GAAUAGACUACCCGAGGUACGUACCACCGACCGUAAACGGUGGGCACUAGGUAGUGGGUCAACGUACUUCCCUACGUUGUCCGUGCCGCAGACUAACGCUAAUUAACGUGCCCCCGCCUGGGGGGAGUACGGCCGCAAGGCUAAAACUACAAAGGAAAGUUAGACGGGGGCCCGGCCACAAGCGGCGGGAGCAUGUGGUCUUAAUUCGACGCAACGCGAAGAACCUUACCAAGGCUUGACAUACACCGGAAACGGUCUGGAGACAAGGUCGCCCCCUUGUCGGUCGGGUGUACAGGUGGUGCGAUGGCUGUCGGUCAGCUCGUGUCGUGAGAUGUUGGGUUAAGUCCGUCGUAACGACGCGACAACCCGUUGUCCCGUACGUUGCCCUAGCUAGGCCCCUUGUGGUAGACUUGGGGGACCGUCACGGGAGACCGGCCGGGGUCAACUCCGGGAGGAAACGGUAGGGGACGGACGGUCGAAGGUCAGUCAUGCCCCUUANGUCUUGGGCUCGUCNCACGGUGCUACAAUGGCCGUACAAUGGGCUGCAAGUCCGCGAGGUCGGAGCGGGAAUCCCGAAAAAAGCCCGGUACUCCGACGUUUCGGGAUUGGAGGUCUGACUAACCG
rnacentral:rRNA from 1 species